CAUAGAGACCAGGGAAACGUAUGUUCUUGUUGUCAAAACUGAUAAAUUCAAAAUAUUUGUUUGUCAGUUUUUAGAAUUUUGAUAGGGAAAGUCCACAUAUCUUUGUGUAUGUAGUUUUGUACUUGUAGUGAGAACUUAAGUCGUUAAACUACCGUCCCCUUACCAAAAUGUUAAUGUUUUGAUUUGUCGGUCAAAGGAGUUUUCAUAAGCAAAAUGGCGAUGGAAAAUGAAGAUGGCGGUGCAGCAGGAGGAUGGUGGGGCUCAUGGAUGAAUGCCGCAAAAGCCAAGUCAGCCGAGGUGUACGAGUUUGUCAAGAAUGAUCUGAAUGAGUUGUCCACUGCAGUCAAGAGUGAAGCUAGUGCCGUGCUCUCAUCAACAUCCAAUGCCGUCAAAGAAACUCUCCAGUUGGACAAGCCAGAGUCUACAGCUAACACCGUGAAGCGCUCUGUGUCCUCCUUCUUCGACCAGGUUGGCACCGCUCUGAGUCCUCCACCUGAGGACGGUGAUGAAGAGGCCAUCAUCAUACAAGGCAGUGAUCCUGUGUUCCUCAACAGAUUACAGACACGACUUUACACAUUGGCCAGUGAACCGAGGACCUUCACCGAGGACAUCAAGGAAGAUCAAAUGCCUCAGUUCGAGGCUUGGCUGACUGUCCUCGAGGAAGACAAGAUGUCCAUGGACAAGAUGACCAAGAUGUUAGCAGCUUGUCCUCCAUUACAAGAGAACUACACCACGCUCGUCCCCACCCAAGUAUCACACGCUCAGUUUUGGCAUCGUUACCUGUUCCGCAAAGGCCUAAUAGAGGAUGAAGAGGCAGCUAGGGAGAGGAAAGAAGAACGUGAGAAACAAGUGGCCGACUCAUUCCAAUGGGACAAAGUGGAUAACCUAAGUGAUCAUAUAGAGCUUUCAGAAGAAGAGCAGAUCCGAAUACUGGCUGAGUACGAGGCAGAACGGAAAAUGAUGAAGGAGUCCGAUAAAAAGAGUGAAGAAAAUGGUGUGAACGUGAACAGUGCAGUGCUAAUAGAACGUGAAAAGAAAGACAUGAUUAUAGUUUCCACUAGUGCCACUACUUCUUUGUCUACAGGAUCCACUGGAGAUAAAGACUAGUAGACUACCCAGCAUGAUUUAUCCCUUUGAGAUCCAAACACCAAAAUACAUGUAUUGGACCCAAGAGUAACAGAACACAACUUCCACCUACAACUAUCUAUAAAGUAACGAUGACGACUGGGAGCGAGAGUUUGACCUGGACGAGACAGAAGCGUCGAGUCCCAAGUGACCCUAAGUCACAUCAUCUCCAGUGUAGUGUCAACAUUCGUGUCAAGUAAUGUGGCUAUUGUCCAGCUACAAAUGUGAUCCCUGUAUUGUUAUUUCAUUUUCUUUUGUUGUUUGCAUAUAGUUUACUGUGUUUUUAUUAGUUUAUUAUGACUGUUACGGUGUGUACAUAUUUUAUAUAGUAGGCUUAAGUGUUAAGUAGUGAGAUGAACAUCAAACAUACGGUAACAUAGUUGUGGAAAAUCAUAUUCAAAUUUUAUCGGGUGGACCAAUCUUUCUUGGUAUUAAACAAUGGCGUAACUCAAAUGUGAAUAAAUGUUGUCAAUUUUAGAUUUCACUUUUAUAUUAAACCUUAACUUGUGUCUGCCCUUAAUAUUAUCAAUGGUUGUGAUGGGUAAGGUUCAACAGUAUAAAGCCAAAAUUUGUUGUAAAUAAAAUAUGCGUUUUCUGCUUUUGAAAUGAAACUAAACUACACCAAGCCAUGGCUCAGUCUCCAGGUACUUGAACUUAAUGUUUUAAUAUAUAAAUUUUAUCCAUCUAAUAUACAUUUUUACAGUGGUUAGUUUAGAGGUUAAUCCCUCCAAGUCACCAAUGGAUAAUGUCUUAAGUGAUAAUGCUGCAACCCCCUAGGUCUGGUCUGAAGUAAUGUGAAAAACAAUUUCGAGCUUGUGCCUAGCGUCCUAGAAAAAAUUUAUAUAUAAAUUUUUACAAAAUAUUAUGGUAAAAAAAUUAAAAUGAGUGUUUUUAAAAUCUUUUAGUUGUUAGCUGAUAUUAGCUAAAAGAUAUGGUGUGGUAAAUAAUUGUUAAGUUAUUUAACAAAACUUAUUAAUUUCAAUUCUUUUUGUUAUUUUACAAUUAAGUUGAUCUUUAAACAAAACUCCACUGCCAUAUUUGAUGUUCAUUUCAUGAUUUUGUUUAGUUUUUGAAAAUAUUGUAGUAUUUUUAUAUGCAGUAUCGUAUUCUCACUUUAAAUUAAGAGUAAAUUAUAUUACUUACUAUAUACAUACAUUAUACCAUAAAUUUUACACGUCUCAAUUUGUUGUAUUUUAAAUUUUAAUCUACAAAAGCUAAAGAUAUUUACAGUAAUUUAUUUUUUCUCAUGUUAUGAAUAUUCAUACUUUGGUGCUACAGACAGCUGAUGGCUUAUUUCAAAUAUUUGUAAAUAAUAUAGAUUUCCAUCUCUAAAAAUUGCAUUGAACAAUAAUACAUCGUAAUACUGUAUUUCCAGUUUUAGAUUUUUUUUACUACAAUUUUGUUUUAUAUUUAUGACAGCCAAUUCUAAUCUGCAAUGAACAGAUUUUCAAAGUUUAGUAUUUUUUAAAUUAUAGUGAGGAAAAUUUUUGGGAUUUUUUCUUAUGUGUUAUGAACAAAAUUCUCUUAAUUGCAUAAUUAUUUAUUACAAUCAUAAAACUUGCAGCUAUGGAUAAAAAAAUAAUUUUGGCUGAUUUGAUGGUAGUUAAUUAUUUUGAGUGUCAAAACAUAUACAUUUGGAACAAAGGGCCUAUUUAGUUGUUGGAGUUGCUGUUUGAAAUGAAACUGGUUCAAUUUUUUCUAAAUAUUGUAAUGCAAUGUUUUAUUUAUUUUUCUUAACACUUCAAAUGCCAUAUAAAGUUCAAUUUAUUAUAGAGUUAAAUAUAAUAAAUUUUGUCCUGAUAGUUAAUUUUUAAAUUGGCUUUUGUUGAAUGAUAAAUAUUAUGUAAAGUAAAGUAUUUUUUCCUACAGUUACCUAACAAUGUACAUGUUCUCUCACUGAUUUGAGAAUGCAAAAUGGCCAAUUCGCUCAUCAGUGAGACAAUGUUAACAUUGUCUCAUUCCAAUUACUUUGUCUCACUCCAGAUUUGCAACGUGAAGGCACGAAAUAGUGAGCGUGUAACAUGCAGACAAGGUCGUAUGCGCACGAAAUACGUUGGCAGCACUGGCUGUAAAUCAGCUGGUCAGCUGUUGUACUGUUGUAUCAUUAAAUGUUAUAUUAAAAGUUCACUUCUGUGCAAAAAUAUGUUACAUUUCUUUACCAAUUUAUUUGUUUUAUGGUAAAGGUAGGAAAAAUAUAAUGUGCAACUCGAGUGCAAAGUGCAAUUGCCUCACUCGAGAAACCAUUCCUCACUUGCCUACGGCUUGUUUGUUAUUUCUCUCGAGUGAGUCAAUUGCUCACUUUGCUCACUAGUUGCACAAAUAACUAUUGUGCAUUUCUACUUAGAAUGUUCUAGGUAAGUCUGAGUAAUUGAAUGUUUUGUUACUUUAAGAUUAGUUUCAGAUAGAGAGUCAGGGUUUUUUUUUGUUGUUAUUUGGAGUUGAAAGUUUGUCUAUCCUGAGUUUGUUGACUAUCUAUAGUGUAUUUUUUACAAUCUGUAAAACCACAAUCUUAAGGUAAUUUAAACUUAUUAUUUUGUAUCAUGUUGCAAUUGUUUACUGCUUCCUUUUUACAACUAUAUUAUUUUGAAUCACCGUGUACAUGUUAAAAGCACACUAACUAUAAGACACUUUUAUAUUGGUUAUUGAAAAUGAGAUACUGAAAUAUUACAAUUUAUG